AAGCCUGNNNAGCCAUGCCGCGUGUGUGAAGAAGGUCUUCGGAUUGUAAAGCACUUUAAGUUGGGAGGAAGGGCAGUAAGUUAAUACCUUGCUGUUUUGACGUUACCAACAGAAUAAGCACCGGCUAACUUCGUGCCAGCAGCCGCGGUAAUACGAAGGGUGCAAGCGUUAAUCGGAAUUACUGGGCGUAAAGCGCGCGUAGGUGGUUUGGUAAGAUGGAUGUGAAAUCCCCGGGCUCAACCUGGGAACUGCAUCCAUAACUGCCUGACUAGAGUACGGUAGAGGGUGGUGGAAUUUCCUGUGUAGCGGUGAAAUGCGUAGAUAUAGGAAGGAACACCAGUGGCGAAGGCGACCACCUGGACUGAUACUGACACUGAGGUGCGAAAGCGUGGGGAGCAAACAGGAUUAGAAACCCUGGUAGUCCAGACCAAGUCUCNGNCUACCGUAC
rnacentral:rRNA from 1 species